UCCUCUCAGUGUUGUCCUCCUACCCUGUAACAUCUCUCUCACUCACUCAAACCUCUCUUUCUCCCUCUAAAACUCUCCCGUCCUCUCUUCUCUCUGUAACGCAGCAAAAGUCACCAAACCUCGACGAAUCAACGCUCAAACCACCACCACGUCCACCCUCUUGACCUCGCGAGCUCGAACCCGAGCUCCGUUUCGUAGGAAACCGAAACUAGAGGCUCUAGCUCGAAGCUCCGACGAGAAAGAAACUUCCCGACGAAGUUCCCGACACUUUUCCGACCGCUCCACACCGUAUUGGAAGAGUUGGAAGCCACCACAGAACUCCCUAACGUCACUGGGUCAAGUUUGAGGCAAUCCCCAACUCGAAAACACCCGGCUUCGAAGCUUUGGGUUUUUUUGCGGAGACUUUCAGGCCAAUUUCAGUACACGUCUGCUUUUUGGAGUUCCAAGAGUUUCCGUCGAUUUCAGGGACCUUCCGGCGUGUUUUUGGCUAAAUCACGGCGAGUUAGCCGUACCAAUUUGUUCAUCUCAUUCCGAGAUGUCGGCUAGUACGCCUUGACUUCGGUUGGGAUGUGUCAAAGUUUGUGAAGCACCACUUCCAGUUCCAAGCAUAUGAUUUGGUGUUGAACAAGGCAUAAAUUUCAUAAUUUCACUUUUACUCUGGACAGUUGUAUUGUGUUGACUUACAAUACAGGCAAGCACUGAGCACGAGACUUACAAAAGCUACCAACAAAGAGGAGCAUUACAGCCGUAGUCUUUGAUUUCAGAAGGCAAUGGAAAUUAUAAUUGCAAUUGCCUCAAAAAUUGGACAGUACUUGGUCAAACCGAUAGGAAGAGAGUUUGGCUAUUUGUUUAAUUACCAUUCCAACCUUGAAAGUCUUCAGGCCGAGACAAAAAAGCUUUUUGACAAGAAAAAUGGAGUGCAGGGAUUGGUAGAUGCUGCCAAAAGGAACGGUCUAAUCAUCAAACCUGAUGUUCAGAGUUGGCUACAGAAUGUGAACGACGACAUGGUCAAAAAAGUGUUGCAGUUUGAGGUUGAAAUUAACAAGCGAUGUGUGUGUCAAUGGAGCCUGAGUCGGAAAGCCUAUAAGAUUAAACAAGAAGUUCUUCAGCUCCAAAACGAAGGAACAUUUGAAAAUGUGGCCCAUCCUGCACCUCCACCAGCGAUAUGGUCAACAUUCGAAAAAGGAUUUAAGGAUUUUCAGUCCAGAAAGGCAAACAUGAAUGAGGUGAUAGAGGGUUUGAAGAGGGAAGAAGUACGUAUGAUCGGGAUUUGUGGAAUGGGGGGUGUGGGUAAAACCACAAUGAUAAAAGAAAUCAUGACAAGAUUGGCAAAACUGAACCUGUUUGAUAAAAUUGUAAUGGCAACUGUGUCUCAAAGUCCAAGUAUUAGGACUAUCCAGUCGGAAAUUGCAGACGAAAUAGGUUUGCAAUUUAAGGAGGAAUCUGAGUCCGGAAGAGCACGAAGGCUACAUGGGAGACUCAUGGGCAUAGAGAGGAUCCUGAUUGUAUUAGAUGAUGCAUGGACAGAGCUUGGUUUUGCGGCUAUAGGACUUCCUUACGGAGAUGCUCAUAAAGGGUGCAAAGUUUUGUUGACAUCACGAGAUUCGGACGUUUGCAACAGGAUGGGAAGUCAACAAAUUAUUGCAGUCCCGAUUUUAACAACAGAAGAAUCAGAGGAGCUGUUUCGAGAAAUGGUGGGUGAAUCCUUUAAUGAUCCUGAUUUACGUUCCACUGCAAAAGAUGUAUUGAAGGAAUGUGGAGGUUUACCUAUUGUAAUUGUAACUGUUGGAAAAGCCCUAGAAAAGAAAAACAAGCAUGAAUGGGAUGAUGCCCUUAAUCAGUUGCGAAAUUCUACCCCAGUGAACAUCCCUGGAGUGAAUGACAAAGUUUAUUCUAGCAUAAAAUGGAGUUAUGAUAGAUUGGAGAGUGAUGAAGCCAGGUCAUGUCUUUUACUUUGUUGUUUAUUUCCAGAAGAUUAUGAUAUUCCAAUUGAGUACUUGGUUCGAUAUGGGUGGGGUCGAGAAUAUUUUAGCAGCAGCUUUACUUUGGAAGAUGCAAGAAUAGAGUGCAUUCUUUGGUUGGCCAACUAAAAAGAAGGUUUUUGUUGCUGGAUAGUGGCAAGGGUAAGUAUACAAAAAAAGUUCAGUAUACGAAAAUGCAUGACAUAGUUCGCGAUGUUGCUAUAUCGAUUGCUUCAAGAGAUCCACAUGGAUUUCUGAUAAGAAGUAAUGCUGAAAAUAAUGGGUGGUCAAAUUUAGCUACGUAUGACCAUUACACUACAAUCUCACUUGUUGGCAAAUUGGAGAUUCCGGUUGGUUUGAAAUGCCCAAAACUUGAGCUUCUACAGACGAUGAAAGGACGUUUUUCAAAAGGUAGCAUGGACAUCAUUUGUGAUGCGAUGAAAGAACUGAAGGUUUUAGCUUUGGUGGGAAUGGAAAUGGAAGACCUAGGCUCAUCAAGAUCACUAGGAGUACUGAAGAACCUGCGGACCUUGUGCCUAGAUGGGUCUAAAUUUGAUGGCAUGUCUACUGAUGUUAUUGGGAGUUUGGAGAAUUUAGAAAUCCUCAGCUUUCGGGAUUGUCGUUCCAUGCGUGAGUUGCCGAGGGAAAUUGGACGACUUAAACAGUUAAGGUUGUUAGAUACGACAGAUUGCAGGAAUCUUGAGGUGAUUCCACGUGGUAUCUUCUCCAGCUUAUGUAGACUUGAAGAGUUGUAUAUGCUUAAUAGCUUUACGAAAUGGGAAAUUGGAAGAGAAAGAGAAGAAAAGGGGAUGGCAAGCAUUUCUGAGGUGAUGUCUCUGUCCGAUCAUUUGAAGGUUCUAUCCAUAAAUAUACCCAGUGUCAUCCACUUGUUUCCAAAAGACAUAGUCUUGAAAAGCCCGACAAUAAGAUUCGCUAUAUGCUUUGAUACAUGGGGAGGGCAUAUUUCGGAGAUGAGUACUUAUGCAUUCGAAAAUUGUUUGGAGAUUAGUGAAAGUGAUGCAAGGGAGUUGGAGAGUCAAGCAGUUAGACUUUUGUUGAAAAAAUCUAAAAAAUUGUAUUUGCACAAAGUUAAGAAUUUAUCUGUCCUCACUGAUUUAGACCAUGAGGUAUUUCAAGAUUUGAAUGAUUUACGUCUUGUGGAUUGUCCAAAUACCGAGUAUCUUGCAAAUGGGACAAGUGCGACCCAGCUUCCGGAUAGCUUUUUGACCAACCUAAGAUUCCUUGAAUUAGGAAGUUGUCGUGUCUUAAAAUAUGUCUUUUCACUAUCAAUAGCGAGAAACUUGGUACAACUCCAGGAAUUAAUAUUGGUGGAUGUAAUCAAAUGGAAGAAAUUGUGUCGAAGCAGGGGAGGGAACAUGAGGAGGAAGCCGAUAUGAUAUCUUUCCAUAAAUUAACCAAAUUGUAUCUCUGGGAUCUACAGAGUUUGGUUAAUUUCUUCCAAGCCAAGAAGCUAUACUCCAACCAAGAGGAAACAACGGCAAGGGUUGAGCAUCAAUCUGCAGGCAUAUUUGAAAAAGCAAUAUUUCCAUCAAAGUGCAUUUCAUGGUUUCCAAGUUUAGAAGAGGUACAAUUGAAGCAUAUGAAGUUUGAAGGCGUGCUAUUUGAUCUGAAAAUCCAUAUGGUUAUGGAUGGGCAGACAACUCCAAUAUUUCCUCAGUUAAGUAAGUUGGAUAUAUCCGGUGGUUCAUUUACACACUUGUGGAAAAACAUUCCGUUUGGAUUUCAAGGCUUCCGAAAUUUGAGAAAUUUGAAAGUAGGUGGAUGUCGUGGUCUAAAAUAUGUGUUCUCGCAUUUAAUUGCCCGAGAACUUUUGAAUCUUGAAGAGGUAAAGAUAUCUGGAUGUCCGGACAUGGAAACUAUAGUAAGAAUCACAGAGGAAAAUGAAGAAGAGGCGACAAAAUACAUGAUUUUGUUUCCGAAACUGAACACAUUUGAACUAGAAGACCUGCCUCGUCUCACAAGUCUUUGUCCAGAGGGAUUUACAUUUCUAUGGUCAUCCGCAAAAAAUAUGCACGUGAAAGAAUGUGAAAAUUUGAAGACAUUGGGUGCUGUAAUUCCACAAAGAAAGAAGUUAGAGAAUAAGUCUGAGAAGGAUUCAAGAGCAAACGCACACCGCUCCAUUGAAAUAUUGCCACGUCCAUUUAAUUUGGAGGUUACACCAACUAAUCUUGAGGACUCAAAUGAUGAUGAUAAUCUCGAAAAUCUUCUUGUCCACGACUGUGCAUCAUUGGAAGUGAUUUUCCAACUCAAGGGACCAAAGCAUGAAGAAAGUAGUCACUCCUUUGAAGCAUUCAAUAAAUUGAGGUCCUUAUGGUUAUAUAAGUUGCCAAGUUUAACGCGUCUUUGGGAGACGGGUAGUUCACAACAGAUGUUCACAGGUAGCAGCUUCGGAAACUUGAAAUCGUUGGAGGUCCAUCGUUGCAACCAGUUGAAAUACUUGUUUUCUUCGUCCAUUGUCAAACUUCUUGUGAGUGUAGAGGACAUAAGAGUUUAUGACUGUGAGCAGAUGGAAGAAAUCGUUGCCGCAGAAGAAGAAACAGCUGAAAUAAUUACAUUACCUAAAGUGAAGUCCAUCAAGCUUAUAAGGCUGCCAAAACUCAAGUAUUUUUGUGGUGAAGCUUAUACUUUGAACUUGCCGUCUUUGGAGUUAUUGAAGGUUAUUAGUGUGCAAGACUUAAGGCCAUUUGAUCCUAAGCAUGUUGACACGCAUAAUCCCCGAUUGCAAGUAAAAACCGCAUUUCGACAGGAAUGGACGGGGACCUCAAUGCCACUCUAAGGAAUAUUUAUGACACAAGGAAGGAUAACGAUGACGAAUUGUACAGUGAGGAUGAAAAUGAAGAUGACGAAUUCUCUGGGGAGGAUGAAGAUGACUAACAGAAUUGAUUGAUCAAACACAAAGGACAAGAGUUUACAGAACGUUGUGGAUUCAGCAAUUCGUUUACCAUAUCAUAUGUACAAGCCAAUAAAAGGUCAUUUGUUGCACCAGAAUUUCAUUCCAAAAAUACCAUUUAUGUUUGCUUAUUUGAUGUAUUAUAAAUUUCGAUUGCGAUUAUUACUGUUUGUUUCUAAAUUAGUGUUUGCUUAUUUGUUAUGGUAAUUUGGAAAAGUUGUCUCUAGCUACCAAUAUUUGCAUUUCAAUUUAUAAUGCUAAAAGUUCUGUAAUACCAUAGACGUGUAAGAUGAAUGACAUGCUGGUAGAAUGACA